AGGUGUUUAACUCAGUGGCAGAGUUUCGUUUUUACAUGACGAGUGUCGAAAGUUCAAUUCUUUCAACGCCUA
rnacentral:tRNA from 1 species